GAGCUGCAGAUCCUCUUACAGUGACUCACUGCAAUCUCAAUUGUCUCAGGCUAAAGUUCUGUAGAACAUUAGAGUUAGACAUACCAUUGUAUGACUGAACACUGAUUCAGAGUUUGUCUGACCUUGUUGUCAGAACUUGGAAAGCAAGUGGUUUAGGGAAAAGGGAGAACUGGAUUGAAGUCAAAGUCAUUAAUAUCCUUCUACUUGAAGAAAGAGUCCAGAGAGCAGGAGAGCAACUCUUUGAAAGCUGCUCUGUGAAGCAGGAAACCUCACCAGUAUUUGAGGCAACAUUACAACCAUAAGUCCCUCACUGUAGUAACAAUUUGCAAGAUAUCUGUUCUAAUGAUGGAAAGAAAAGGAGCCACACUGUCAGUACUCUGCUGAAGGCCUGCCUUGCUUCUCUUCUUUGCUGUGUGAUCAUGGAGACCACAUACAUGAAGAGAACCAGCCCUAUUGCAGGAGGCCACAGGAUCCGAGCCAUGGAGACCAAGAACACUCUACACUGGGUAGAACUCACCAGGGCAAUCUGUGGUUGGGCUGGCAGGUCAAGUAGCUACAAUCCUACCCUCAGGAAAGAGUAGGUGGCAGAAAAUAAAACACCACCGUAAAAGAGAUUGUCUCACACCCUUGCUUUUACACAGCUGCAAUCAAGGUAGGGUUGUGUAGGUUCCUCAGCUUGACUGUGUAUACUAUCAUGUGAAGUCCUGUCAAAACUGAGCUUUAUAGAAAGAAGGACGUGCCCCACAGCCAGCUUUCAGUGAUAGAAGCUUUUGCACCCUUUUGAAUAUUGUAUGAGAAAGAAAUAUGCCAGAGAAAAAUAAAACUGCCUUCAUUUUAGUGAAGCUUUUUUUCUUACGGCUACCACCCACUCAGCUUCAAAGAAAUAAACAUUGCGAAGUGGACACACAGCCUCCAGUGCCCAGACACUGAUGGGGUGCUCUGGGAUGCAUAAAACUUCCUGACAAAGAACAGCAGCACCAGCAAACGUGCAAGGUAAUAGCAAAAAUACACAGAGCUAAGCACUUGU
rnacentral:lncRNA from 1 species